UAAGACGAAGGUGGCAAGCGUUGUUCGGUAUCACUGGGCUUAAAGCGUGUGUAGGCGGAAACGUAAGCGUCCUGUGAAAGCCCCCGGCUUAACCGGGGAAUUGCUCGACGAACUGCCUUUCUUGAGGCAAGUAGGGGUGCAUGGAACUCUUGGUGGAGCGGUGGAAUGCGUAGAUAUCAAGAGGAACGCCGGCGGUGAAAACGGUGCCCUGGGCUUGUUCUGACGCUGAGACACGAAAGCGUGGGGAGCGAACGGGAUUAGAUACCCCGGUAGUCCACGCCGUAAACGAUGUCUACUAGGUUGUGGAAGUUCUGACGCUUGCACAGCCGAAGCAAAAGUGAUAAGUAGACCGCCUGGGGAGUACGGUCGCAAGGCUA
rnacentral:rRNA from 1 species